GGCCGCGCAGGGCUGGGCGGCGGGGCCCCCUCUCCCACGCGAGGCGUCUGCGUGGAGCGGCGGCACCGGGAGCCCGGGCGCUCGACCCAAACGCCGCGGACGGAGCGAGGCCGCAGCGCCCCCUGGUGUCCGCAACGAGCAGCGCGUCCCGGUCGGGUCCCGCAUGGUCAGUGGCCAGCAAGGGUGGAUGAAGGGGUCCCAGCCGCCUGAGACCCCCGGUGGGGACACAGGAUCGCGGUGAGACACCUGGGAGUCACAGGUGCUCGCAGACGCAGCUGACCCCAGAGGCACAGGUACGGACACAGGUCCACACCUGGAAGCCGGUGCACAGUGCUCGGCACAGAUGCAAAGCGGCAGGUGUGCGUAGGUUUGUGUCAACGCCACCCUGGGAACCCAGGAUGGCUGCGGACACUCACGGAGCCCGCACCCAGGAACCCGCUCGUAGUAAGCGCUUAAUAACUAGGCACUGGCUGAAUGAAUGAAUGAAUGAAUGAACACGGCGCUUCGCAAAACCAGGAAAAGGCAGAGGCUCACAGAACCAGGGAACGACGGGCUGGGGGGAGCGGCAAGAAUUACGCAAUUAUGCAGGGGCCGCUGUGACUACCAGGCACCCCCUCCAACUCCCCCCCUACAAGGGCUGCUCUGGGGCAGAGAACGUCCCCCGCGCUGACUGCUGGGGCUGGGGGCUGGGGGGGCAGAUCAGAAAGAAUGGGCCUGAAUUGCUCCCAGGCUGGGCAUGUGGCGCCCGCGUCUGGGGCUCCAGUGGGUGGGUGGCCCCUCCCGCAUGGACGGCGGGCGCAGGGGAGCUCGGUGCUGAUGUCUCUCUCCUUUAAUAACCACCCUGCGUGAGUGGCUGACGCAGCAGCCGGCUGCCGCUGACGGGGAGUGGGGCGGCUGUAGUGGGGGGGCCCGAGGUGCAGAGGGGGUGGUGAUGAGUCACACAGCUGCUGCCUGGGGGAGGGGGUCUUGAGCCCAUGAGGGGUCCCAGAGACCUUGUCACUGGAGACAGCGCCCCUGGCUACCCCCACCUCGAUCCACUUGAGGGUGGAAGUGAGUCUGAGGUCAGGAGUGGGGCCGGGAUUUCCCUGGGAUGAGCAACAAAACGGGGGUCUCUGUACGCCAACUUCCCCCAGCUUGUCAGCAGAGGAUCAUCCCUCCGAAGACUUUCUGAGGCAGAGAGGCAGGGGUCCGCGCUGGCUUCUUCCACCAGGGCUGAGGGAGGCGGCGGCAUGAGAUGAUUCCUGGGCGAGGAGCAAGUGAUGGCCAUAGAGGGCCCCCCAGAGGCUUUGGGGCCGCCGAAGAGUAGUGAGUGAGGGUCCUUGUAAAGCUGGUUCUCCAGAUGGCGGCGGCUUUAAGACUCCCCUCCGCCAACCAGGCUCAGUAGGGGAGGCCUGUGGAAGGAGAGAAAAGGCCUGGGUGGAGGAGCAGAGUGGGCCUGGCCCCGCGUGGGGAGCGAGUGCGCCGUUGGUGUGCAGCACGGUGGGAGGGGAGGCCGAGGGCCGGGCUGAGUGCUGGGGUGCAGUGGGGACUCGAGGUGUCCGCCUGCACCCGACAGCAGGGACGCACAACACUAUCCGGCCAGGCGAGUGUGGGGGUGUGGGCCACGCACCCAGCCGUGAUAAUCGCGGUUCCAGUGGGAGUUAGGCUUGGGUGCGGGUUGGAGUUUGUAGGCAAACUGGGUUGCGUAAAGUUGGGGUGCACCAAAGUGUGGCGAUGUAGGAAGAAUUGGGAUUGCGAAUAUUGGGGUUCGCAUGAAUGGGGUUGUCUCUGUUGGGGUUUGGGUGGGCAUGGGGUUGAUGGCAGGAAUGGAGUGCUGGGAAAACUGGGACGUCGGUUGUAUUGGCAAGAAUAUCACGACAGGUGUCGGGGUUCAGAUGAAGUUGGGAUGUCUGACAGCCGGGUCUUGGUUGGGUAGGGGAUCUGGGCUAGGUUGUUAUGUCGGGACUGCUGGAGCACAGGCAAAGUCGGGGUCCCAGUGACACCCAGAGGUCCCCAUGAGGCCGGAGGCCUGGGAAUCGGGGCUAGAGGCCCAUUUGUUCCCCGCCGCAGGCCAGGGAGCGGGCACGCGUAACUGGGUCAGCCCCGCCCCGCCGCGCGCUGGUCACGCCCCCUCGAGCGCGGGUGGAGGACUGCGGACUGCAAACGUCUCGGCCAAUAGUCGAGCCCGACAACAGUGCGCGGGAGGGGGCGGAACCGAGAUAGACUCGGCCCCCAGCUCAUGAAUAUAAGACGCAGGCGCGCCCUCUGAUUGGCCCAGGAUGUGUAGGGGGCGGGGCCCGGCGGAGCCGUAUAUAAGGCCGGGCUCGGGGACGCCCCCCCUCACUCGCGCGUUAGGAGGCUCGGGUCGUUGUGGUGCGCCGUGUUCCCGCUUGCGUCAGGGACCUGCCCGACUCAGUGGCCGCCAUGGCAUCAGAUGAAGGCAAACUUUUUGUUGGAGGGCUGAGUUUUGACACCAAUGAGCAGUCGCUGGAGCAGGUCUUCUCAAAGUACGGACAGAUCUCUGAAGGUG
rnacentral:lncRNA from 1 species